CAGAAAAUCAAAAUUGUCCCUGUGUAUUUUACUUGAAGAAUCACCAAAUAUUUGGGGGGGGGGGUGAGGAUCGCUGUCAUAUGGACUCUGAGCAUUCAUCCCAGCCUCUUGCUUGAGUUUCCUAAUACCCAUGUGAGGGGCACUGCCUCAGUUUUACAGGUGAUUAAUCUCAGCCACAGGAAAGGGUGUUAUCUGACCAACCAGCAGGGCAGGAGGGCAAUCUGUUUUCCUAAACUGUUUUUAAACCGCUCUUCCAUGAAGGGCACGCGCCUGCUGACGAGCGAUCCCUCUGUGUUCCUGAGCCAGGCUGCGUCUGCUGAGGGUCACUGGGACAGGCGGUUCUUAGGAUGUUCUCUCCGACAACCUUUACAUUUCUUUUUUCGACUGAACUGAAUGUUACCUUGGUGGUGCUAGAAUGUAAGUCACAGCCACUGACAUUUCCAGCAGGCAAUAAGGUGGGCCCCCCUAGGGGCGGAGCUCGAGGCCUGAGGAUCUUCUGAAUGGGGUAGGUUUGCAUCAGGCAGUAGCUCCCUUCCAAAUUUGGAAAUUUAGGUACUUGUGUUUACAGCCAUAAGAAGUUCUGGGCUCUUAAGGGAGCCGUGUAAUUAGAUUACACUCACCUGGAUAAUCCCUUUUUGCAUCAACUGUGUCAUAUAACAUAAUGUAGUCACAGGAAUGAUAUCCCAUUCAUAGGUUCAGGGGGAUAAAGGGUAUGGAAUCUCUUGUGGGAGCAGGUAGGGCAUUUUGAGAAUCCUGCCUACCACAUUCUGGUUCUGCUGCUGGGAGUCAAGAGAGCAUUUAAGAACAAGUGAUCAGAUGAGAAUGACUCUCCUGGGGAUAUGUUUUCCCAGGCUUCGUUGGCAUUAAUUCCUAAGUAGGUUUAGGUAACAUUUGCAGUGGGUCUUAUGGUCCUUAACGUGUACAAUUUACCCUCAUGCCAUGGUUCUCACAGUGUGGGCGCAGGACCAGCCUCAUCAGCAUCAUCUGGGACCUUGUCAGAAAUGCAAAUUUGGGGUCGCGUCCCAAACCUACUCAAUUAGACGCUCUGGGUUUGUGGUCCUGAGAUGUGUGUCGUAACAGGUGAUUCUGAUGCUACUCAAUUGAGAACUAUUUUUCUAAAGAGCAGAAAUAGUUAAGGCCUGGAAGAGGGUCAGGAUGUGCCUCUGUGAGGAAGCGUGUCAGGAACUCUCCCGGUGGGAUGCGGAUGCUGGCCUGGUCCUCUUCAGCCCCAGGAAGAGGAGUUAGAGCUUGCCGAUAUGUGCGCUAUUCGAGAUGGAGAAACCAAGGCUCAGAAGCAUGAAUUCUUUGGCUCUGAGGUUUCACGGCCAUCAGGGGCAGAAGCCAGUUUUAACAAGAGAGGUUGAUCAUCGCUGGUCCAACUCAUACCUUCUCCUCCUGGAAGCUACCCCACGCUGCACGAAGACAAUAGCCCUGCUGGCCACCAGAAGACCUAGCCCUCCUCCUCUUGAGGUGGGCAUCUGAUGCAAGGGCAACCUUUCCACAGAUAGGGGGAAGGCUGGCCAACCAUCCUGGUUUGUGUUGGACUGGGGGGUUCCCAGAAGGCAGGACUUUGAGUGCUAAUUCCAGAAAAGUCCUGAGCCAACUAGGACAAGUUGUUCACUCAGGCAGGAAGGGACUUAUGACCUGUGAGCUCGGGUUCCAAACCACAGAAUAGGCAAUCAGCUUCUCAGAAACUGGGAAACUAAAAGACUGGGCCUGUCACCUGAAAUAGAAGGGCCAUGAUAUAGAAAAAGGGCAAGGAGAGUUGAAGAGCUGCCGUGUUGAUCACAUGGAAACAAAACUUACGAGCAGAAACUCUGAGCAAGUAGAGGACACUGACUGUAUUUUAGGAAAACUGACUUUCAGUAGCUUCUUCCUUAAAAACCACCGUGGCCAAUUGCAGAUCCUUGUGGAGACUCUUUCCAGAUGCUUCUGUUUGCUGCUGCUGCUUCUGCUUUCAUUGCCAAGGAAAGGGCUACAGCAGACUCUUCCGUAUUAAAGCAAGUUCCCUCCAAAUCAUGCUGCUUAUCUUCCGAAUUGAAACGAAAUGAGCAAAAUCCAGCACACUUAGAAAUUUCAAGUUGGGAAACCCCAGAGUGACUCUUCUUGACCCCCACCUCACAUUUUUGGAGCUCAGGAAGCUCUUAAUCAGCCAAAGCUGAGGUAGCAGACUGUUUUUCCCAAAGAGAGCCGUGACAACAUUUCCCAUCUCUCAUCCUCUUCUUACAUUAUUUGACACCCUGUGGCUU